UGGCGAGGCAACAGCUACGGUUGUUGCUGAAGUGGGUGAUCCUAUGCUGCCUAGAAAAUCUUCGUGAGCGAGUUGUUGAGCCGCCCGUACCCCAAACCGACACAGGUGGAUAGGUAGAGAAUACCAAGGCGAUCGAGAGAAUCGUGGUGAAGGAACUCGGCAAAAUACCCCCGUAACUUCGGGAGAAGGGGGACCUGAUGCGUGAAGGGCUUUACGCCUGGAAGCGUUGAGGGUCGCAGAGACCAGGCCCAAGCGACUGUUUACUAAAAACACAGGUCCGUGCCAAGUUGAAAGACGAUGUAUACGGACUGACUCCUGCCCGGUGCUGGAAGGUUAAGGGGACGUGUUAGCUGCAAGGCGAGGCACUGAACUUAAGCCCCAGUAAACGGCGGUGGUAACUAUAACCAUCCUAAGGUAGCGAAAUUCCUUGUCGGGUAAGUUCCGACCUGCACGAAUGGAGUAACGAUUUGGGCGCUGUCUCCACCACGAACUCGGCGAAAUUGCAUUACGAGUAAAGAUGCUCGUUACGCGCAGCAGGACGGAAAGACCCCGGGACCUUUACUAUAGUUUGGUAUUGGUGUUCGGUACAGCUUGUGUAGGAUAGGUGGGAGACUGUGAAGCAUCAACGCCAGUUGGUGUGGAGUCAUCGUUGAAAUACCACUCUGGCUGUUCUGGAUAUCUAACCUAGGUCCAUUAUCUGGAUCAGGGACAGUGCCUGAUGGGUAGUUUGACUGGGGCGGUCGCCUCCCAAAGAGUAACGGAGGCGCCCAAAGGUUCCCUCAGCCUGGUUGGCAAUCAGGUAUUGAGUGUAAGUGCACAAGGGAGCUUGACUGUGAGAGAGACAUCUCGAGCAGGGACGAAAGUCGGGACUAGUGAUCUGACGGUGGCAUGUGGAAGCGCCGUCACUCAACGGAUAAAAGGUACCCCGGGGAUAACAGGCUGAUCUUGCCCGAGCGUCCAUAGCGACGGCAUGGUUUGGCGCCUCGAUGUCGGCUCGUCGCAUCCUGGGGCUGGAGUCGGUCCCAAGGGUUGGGCUGUUCGCCCAUUAAAGCGGCACGCGAGCUGGGUUUAGAACGUCGUGAGACAGUUCGGUCCCUAUCCGCUGCGCGCGUAGGAAUCUUGAGAGAGGCUGUCCUUAGUACGAGAGGACCGGGACGGACAAACCUCUGGUGUGCCAGUUGUUCUGCCAAGAGCACGGCUGGUUGGCUACGUUUGGAAGUGAUAACCGCUGAAAGCAUCUAAGCGGGAAGCACGUCUCAAGAUGAGGGUUCCCACAGAGUUAAUCUGGUAAGGCCCCCGGAAGACCACCGGGUUGAUAGGUCGGAUGUGGAAGUGCAGCAAUGCGUGGAGCUGACCGAUACUAAUAGGCCGAGGGCUUGUU
rnacentral:rRNA from 1 species